rnacentral:rRNA from 1 species
CAGUAGCCGCGGGAAUACGAAGGGGGCUAGCGUUGUUCGGAUUUACUGGGCGUAAAGCGCACGUAGGCGGAUCGAUCAGUCAGGGGUGAAGUCCCAGAGCUCAACUCUGGAACUGCCUUUGAUACUGUCGAUCUGGAGUAUGGAAGAGGUGAGUGGAAUUCCGAGUGUAGAGGUGAAAUUCGUAGAUAUUCGGAGGAACACCAGUGGCGAAGGCGGCUCACUGGUCCAUUACUGACGCUGAGGUGCGAAAGCGUGGGAAGCAAACAGGAUUAGAUACCCCCGUAGUCCCUGUCUCUUAUAA